GACGAACGCUGGCGGCGUGCUUAACACAUGCAAGUCGAACGGAAAGGCCCUGCUUUUGUGGGGUGCUCGAGUGGCGAACGGGUGAGUAUCACGUGUGUAACCUGCCCUUGACUUUGGGAUAACUUCAGGAAACAGCGGCUAAUAUAGGAUAGGAGCUCCUGCUGCAUGGUGGGGGUUGGAAAGUUUCGGCGGUUGGGGAUGGACUCGAGGCUUAUCCGCUUGUUGGUGAGGUAGUGGCUUACCAAGGCUUUGACGGGUAGGCGGCCUGAGAGGUUGACCGGCCACAUUGGGACUGAGGUACGGCCCAGACGCCUACGGUAGGCAGCAGGGGGGAAUAUUGCACAAUGGGCGGAAGCCUGAUGCAGCAACGCCGCGUGCGUGAUGACGUCCUUCUAGUUGUAAACCACUUUCGCCGUUGACGAAGCGGGAGUGACGGUAAUGAGUAAAGAAGCACCGGCUAACUACGUG
rnacentral:rRNA from 1 species